AUGUCCCAUGGAUGUUGUAGAACAUAGGCUCUUUUCAUUUUGUAUGUGUAAUGUUUGUUAUAGAGCAAAGGAUUGGAGACGAGUAAAAUCAAGGGGAAGUAAGCCAUUAGUGAUGUGAAACACAGCAAACGUGAUGAUAUCAACAUGACAUCAAUAUUCAGUGAGAUUAGAGGGGUGAUUUUCCUAAUAUACUAUAUGUGCUUUCAUUAAUUUGGAUGAGGAAAAAUCCCAAAGGAGAUGGCAUGACUUCACCAAUAUCAAAAAACCAAUUAGUGAGAGAGGUAAGAGAAGAAUUCAGCUCUACUUAAUCCAAUUUUGGAGUUUUUAGCAUUAUACCAUGUUGUGAGAUUUUGGCCUCAAACUUUCUAACAUCUUUUUUUGGCAAAUCAGUAUUGCCUAUAGGAUUAACACGUGUAG